AUAAAACUUGGCUCUGAUUUUAGGUAUGGCGUGCACUAUGAGAUACACAUGGCUUUUAUGGAAAGAAGUGAGGCGGAAGAUAUAUCAUUAAGCAUUAGUGCAAAACUAUAAUAAUAUAACCUUCUAGGAUGUUAUAGCAAACAUUAUGUCCUGAAAUCCCCACUAACACCAGUGUUGAAGAUUAAGGAAAAAGUGAAAACUUGUAUUAGUUAAGUGAAUAAAAUUUGGUUAAUUUGGUGCCAGCAUCCGCGGUUAAACCAAGAAAUUUAGUCAUUCUUUUACGGUAAAAAGACAGUUAAGCAGGGGAAAAUAGAAUCAUUAGAUCUUCAAUAUAGGAGUAAAAUCUAAAUAUUGGAAGUUAUACCUAACGUGGUUUAUUUAAUAUGCUGAAGCUGUGAUAGCUUUAAGGGAAACUGGGAUUGGAUACCCCAUUAUUUUUAGUCGUAAAUUUAGUUUAAGCUUACCAGAGUACUACGAAUUAAAAGUUUAAAACUCAAAGGGCUUGGCGGUGUUUUAGACCUCUCAGGGGAACCUGUCUCAUAAUCGACAAUCCACGUUAAACCUGACUCUUUGUGGCAGGUCAGCCUGUAUACCGUCGUCGUCAGGUAACUUCUUAAAAUAUAGUAGUUAGCUAGAGAAUUAUAUUAAUUAGAACGUCAGAUCAAGGUGCAGCUAAUAAAAGAGUGAGGAUGGGUUACAAUUACAGAUUUGUAAUUACGGAAAACACUUGAAAUAAGUGUCUUAAAGGAGGACUUGAAAGUAAUUUUGACUAUAUAAACAAAAUGAAUAAGGCUCUGAAACGUGCACACAUCGCCCGUCGCUCUCGUUGAAAAAUGAGAUAAGUCGUAACAUAGUAGGGGUAAUGGAAAUUGUCUCUAGGCUGAA
rnacentral:ncRNA from 1 species